rnacentral:rRNA from 1 species
UGGGGAAUAUUGGGCAAUGGAGGAAACUCUGACCCAGCAACGCCGCGUGGAGGAAGAAGGUUUUCGGAUCGUAAACUCCUGUCCUUGGAGACGAGUAGAAGACGGUAUCCAAGGAGGAAGCCCCGGCUAACUACGUGCCAGCAGCCGCGGUAAUACGUAGGGGGCAAGCGUUGUCCGGAAUAAUUGGGCGUAAAGGGCGCGUAGGCGGCUCGGUAAGUCUGGAGUGAAAGUCCUGCUUUUAAGGUGGGAAUUGCUUUGGAUACUGUCGGGCUUGAGUGCAGGAGAGGUUAGUGGAAUUCCCAGUGUAGCGGUGAAAUGCGUAGAGAUUGGGAGGAACACCAGUGGCGAAGGCGACUAACUGGACUGUAACUGACGCUGAGGCGCGAAAGUGUGGGGAGCAAACAGGAUUAGAUACCCUGGUAGUCCACAGUGUAAACGAUGAAUGCUAGGUGUAGGGGGUAUCGACCCCUUCUGUGCCGCAGUCAACACAAUAAGCAUUCCGCCUGGGGAGUACGGCCGCAAGGUUGAAACUCAAAGGAAUUGACGGGGGCCCGCACAAGCAGCGGAGCAUGUGGUUUAAUUCGACGCAACGCGAAGAACCUUACCAGGUCUUGACAUCCACUUAAACUUACAGAGAUGUAAGGUGUGCUUGCACAAAGUGAGACAGGUGGUGCAUGGUUGUCGUCAGCUCGUGUCGUGAGAUGUUGGGUUAAGUCCCGCAACGAGCGCAACCCUUAUCUUCAGUUACUAACGCGUAGAGGCGAGGACUCUGAAGAGACUGCCGGGGACAACUCGGAGGAAGGUGGGGACGACGUCAAAUCAUCAUGCCCCUUAUGACCUGGGCUACACACGUGCUACAAUGGCCACGACAGAGAGAAGCGAAAUCGUAAGGUAGAGCGGAACUCAAAAAAGUGGUCCCAGUUCGGAUUGUGGGCUGCAACCCGCCCACAUGAAGUCGGAGUUGCUAGUAAUCGCGGAUCAGCAUGCCGCGGUGAAUACGUUCCC